AACGAACGCUGGCGGCAUGCCUAACACAUGCAAGUCGAACGAGACCUUCGGGUCUAGUUGCGCACGGGUGCGUAACGCGUGGGAACCUGCCCUUAGGUUCGGAAUAACUCCCCGAAAGGGGUGCUAAUACCGGAUAAUGUCUUCUGACCAAAGAUUUAUCGCCUUUGGAUGGGCCCGCGUUGGAUUAGCUAGUUGGUAGGUUAAAAGCCUACCAAGGCGACGAUCCAUAUCUGGUCUGAGAGGAUGAUCAGCCACACUGGGCCUGAGACACGGCCCAGACUCCUAGGGGAGGCAGCAGGGGGGAAUAUUGGAAAAUGGGCGAAAGCAUGAUGCAGCAAUGCCGCGUGAGUGAGGAAGGCCUGAGGGUUGUAAAGCACUUUUACACGGGAAGAUAAUGACAGUACCGGGAGAAUAAGCUCCGGCUAACUCCGUG
rnacentral:rRNA from 1 species